rfam:Chloroflexi bacterium RBG_13_66_10 RBG_13_scaffold_12203, whole genome shotgun sequence.
GGGGAAGUGCUGGAACUGGCAGACAGGCGUGACUUAGAAUCACGUGCCGCAAGGCGUGAGGGUUCAAGUCCCUCCUUCCCCA